GGGCCCGUAGCCUAGUCCGGAUAGGGCGUCGGACUUCUAAUCCGAAGGUCCCGGGUUCAAAUCCCGGCGGGUCCG
rnacentral:tRNA from 1 species